rnacentral:lncRNA from 1 species
AAAGUUUCAACGUAAAAUUCAGGGGUGAAGAGAAACAGAAAGAAAAAAAAACAAAACAAAACAGGGGAAAAAUGGCUUGCCUGGGAAUGGAAUGAUCACCUACCAUUCUCCAAAAAGAUUUCAUCCUGGUGCCAUUUAAUUUUGCUUCUGGACUAUCACCCCUAGCAAUAUAUUUGCACUCAGCCCUGCAGACCAAGGCUUCCCAGUACUAAGGGGGAGUGAGUAUUCUAGCUAGACGCACCCCNNNNNNNNNNGCUCCGCCUCCCGGGUUCACCCCAUUCUCCUGCCUCAGCCUCC